rnacentral:rRNA from 1 species
ACUCCUACGGGAGGCAGCAGUGGGGAAUAUUGCACAAUGGGCGCAAGCCUGAUGCAGCCAUGCCGCGUGUAUGAAGAAGGCCUUCGGGUUGUAAAGUACUUUCAGCAGUGAGGAAGGUGGAUAUGUUAAUAGCAUAUUCAUUUGACGUUAGCUGCAGAAGAAGCACCGGCUAACUCCGUGCCAGCAGCCGCGGUAAUACGGAGGGUGCGAGCGUUAAUCGGAAUUACUGGGCGUAAAGCGCAUGCAGGUGGUUUGUUAAGUCAGAUGUGAAAGCCCGGGGCUCAACCUCGGAAUUGCAUUUGAAACUGGCAAACUAGAGUACUGGUAGAGGGGGGUAGAAUUUCAGGUGUAGCGGUGAAAUGCGUAGAGAUCUGAAGGAAUACCGGUGGCGAAGGCGGCCCCCUGGACAGAUACUGACACUCAGAUGCGAAAGCGUGGGGAGCAAACAGGAUUAGAUACCCUGGUAGGCUCU